CAAAUGAGUACACAUAAGGUUCAGUCUGGGCAAGUCAGGUGCGGCGGCGUGUUCACAUGUGUACUUUGGUAUGCUAUGUGUGAAUUGCUGCUGAUCCGCAUCGCAUUUUGCCGAUUGACGCGCUGCUUGUCUUUGUCUUGGUUGCAAUCAUAGCAACGUAUGCCGGUCGACUUUGUCGAUUCUGGCAAAUUGAUAGUGGUGUUGCACUUUUGUGCACGUACAUGGGAAACAUUUCGUCUUGGCGAAGUGUUAGUCAGCUUGGACAAAGAUUGUCAAACUCUGGUCCGGCGGCUUGUUGAUAGUCAUGUGCUUACAGCGGUUUUGGUGUGCUGUGGCUUCGGUUGCAGUAUGGCAAGGAUUGUUGUGUGGUGCAUGGUGUUUGUCGGUUGUUCGGAAUGAAAAGCAGGCCAUGUUGUGGCAUCAUUUGAACCGUCUUGAAACACGGGCUAAGGAGUUCAACAAAUGUGCAAGUUAUCUGGUCGAUUGAAACCAGACAGCGCAGUGAAAGCAAGUUGGUUUAUAAUUGUGAUAACUGUUAACACAGUUGUGUUAAUGGAUCAUCACUUUUGAUGGAUGGCACGUAAGGUACCGGUUGUCGUUCGCAAUCGAGCGCAUAUGUUGAGACCCGAAAGAUGGUGAACUAUGCCUGAGUAGGAUGAAGCCGGAGGAAACUCUGGUGGAGGUCCGUAGCGUUUUUGACGUGCAAAUCAAUCGUCAGACUUGGGUAUAGGGGCGAAAGACUAAUCGAACCAUCUAGUAGCUGGUUCCCUUCGAAGUUUCCCCCAGGAAAGCUGGUGUUGUAUCAGACAGUUUCGUCUGGUAAAGCGAAUGAUUAGAGGCAUUGGGGAUGAAUUGUCCUCGACCUAUUCUCAAACUUUAAAUGGGCGAAGAGCUCUGACACUACUUGAUUGAGUGUCGAGCUAGAAUGCAAUGGCACCAAGUGGGCCACUUUUGGUAAGCAGAACUGGCGAUGUGGGAUGAACCAAACGUUGAGCUAAGAUGCCAAAAAUGCCUCUCAUGAGAUACCAUGAAAGGUGUCAGUCGAUACUGACAGCAGGACGGUGGCCGCAGAAGUAGGAAUCCGCUAAGGAGUGUGUAACAACUCACCUGCCGAAUCGACUGGCCCUGAAAAUGGAUGGCGCUAGAGACGCAUAUCGAUGCUCAACCGUCAAUGCCAACAAAUACAGCGAAUGCAAUAUGGCUUGGCGUGUAGAAGGGCGAUUGCGGUGGCGUCGAAACCUGCACCGUGAGGUGGGGUUGAGCCGCCGCAUGUGCAGAUCUUGGUGGUAGUNNNNNNNNNNNNNNNNNNNNNNNNNNNNACUGAAGUGGAGUAAGGUUCCAUGUGAACAACAUUUGAACAUGGAUCAGCCGAUCCUAAGAGAACGGUUAAGUUCGUGAUUAAGUGCGUUGCGUUGUGCAAUGCAAUCGAAAGGGAAUCGGGUUAAUAUUCCCGAGCCAGGAUACGGUUGAUGUUCAACAUUCCAGAAGUGCCUCGUGCACUGAUGGUGUUGUGCAUAAGUGGUAACACUAACAAACCCAGAAAUUAACUAUACGAAGUCCGGGGAAGAGUUUUCUCUUCUUUGUAAGGAAUGUUAUCCCUGGAAUCAGAUUGUCUGGCGAUAGGGUACGCAUUCCGUAAUGCAGCGCGAUUCCUGCGAUGUACCGUGCGCUUCGUAUAGUGCUUGAAAAUCUGGGGGCGCGAUAGUUCAGACCGUACCUGUUCGUACUGAUUUCCGCAGCAGGUCUCCAAGGUGAGCAGCCUCUAGUCAAUAGGACAAAGUAGACAAGGGAAGUCGGCAAAUUAGAUCCGUAACUUCGGAAAAAGGAUUGGCUCUAAAAGCUGAGCUGGUCGGGCUAUCGCAAUAAGCUGUUAGCUUUGUCUUGGCUCUGUCUCAGUUGCUGUAUGCUCGCAAGGGUGUCGGCUUCGAGGACGGACCUCGGUUUUGCGUUCUGUGUAAGGUGAUGGCUAUGCUGCCUGGUUGAUGAGUGAUCAACUUCCAGGUAGAUCCGAUCAGCGUUAAACAGCUGACCUAGAACUGGUAUGGACAAGGGGAAUCCAACUGUUUAAUUAAAACAAAGCAUUGCGAUAGCUGUAAUCGGUGUUGACGCAAUGUGAUUUCUGCCCAGUGCUCUGAAUGUUAAAGUGAAGAA
rnacentral:rRNA from 1 species